GCAGAUGAGGUGGAAUUGGCAGACGCACUAGAAUCAGGGUCUAGCGCUUUACGGCAUGCAGGUUCGAUUCCUGUCAUCUGCACCA
rnacentral:tRNA from 1 species